rnacentral:rRNA from 1 species
GUUCGGUGGUUUUGGCGAGGGGGAAACACCCGGUCCCAUUCCGAACCCGGAAGUUAAGCCUCUCAGCGCCGAUGGUACUGCAUGGGAGACUGUGUGGGAGAGUAGGACACCGCCGGACC